rnacentral:lncRNA from 1 species
GGGGCUCGGCGGGGUUUCCAUCCAAGAAUGCGCAGUAGAACUUGAGCGUUUUCCCUCUUCCCCCUUUCUUAAAAGCAAAAGCUGUAAUUUAUAGUCCUUUUCGAUUCACGGAGUGCUCGCUACGUGAACUCCACGUUCAGACUCCGCCGCAGGGGGCGGGGGAGCGCGAGGUGGAGCGGGAGCGGCCAGGGACCAUCGGUGCCCCGAGACCAUCUGCGCCCCUGGUCCCGGCCCACUCCGGUCCGCGCUGCGCGCAGCUCGGACUCAAAAGCACAAAUCUGUUCCCCUAGCCUACAGUCGCCGCUUCCAGCAGGGAUCCUGCGGCCUCUCCGCCCUCCCCGCCCUUAAAGGGCCAGCAGACUCUCUAACUUCCAGGGCUUUUGGAGGGAGGGGCUCGAAGCUCUGCCCGCGGGACAAAGCACAGACUUCAGGGGCUCUGGGCAGGGCUGGAGGAACUUGGUAAUGGGGAGGGACUGAGAGGAACGUCAGCCUCGUCCUCUGCACUCCUAGCUCCCCAUCUCCAGCCUCUCAGUCUCUCUUUCCUCCAGAUUUUUUUUCUUUUUGCCUUUAAAGAGAGGGAGAAAAAGAGGAAAACGGUGUAUUCUACGUGACUUUAUUAUUUUUUAUUUUUUGAAAAUCAAACUGCGCCUAAAGAGAAACCCCUGGGAUGGGGAUUUUUAUCUGCUCAUAUUUGUAAAACUAGUAUUUUCGACUUUGUAUAAAGAAGCGCUGUUGACUGUGUCUGUCUAGAUGUCGGCCCUAUUUUCAGACGAACCUGUUUUGAUGGGUACGUCUGUGAACGAGUGGACAUAACUCCGGGACAGGAGUUCCCUAUCUGGUUACCGACUCCCUUUCUCUUCUCUCCUUCCUCGCUUGCAUCUUCCCUCCUUCCAACCUUCCUGAUUCUGCCCUCACUGCCCCUCAUCGUCCUGCCGUCUGUCCAUGGCUGUCGUCCUGUGUCUCCUUAGCUCGCUCUUGAGAGGCUGACUUGGGGGGUGGGGUGGGCAGGGGUCUGGGGCCACGGUGGCUCAGAGUCUGCAGCUGCAGACGGGUGGAGCGUGGCCGUUGGGUUUGCGAGUUCUCUGCUAUGUAUAAAUCUCCGGUUGAUCUGCGCCUCAGCUCAAGAGUGAAACCUUGGUACCUAUCUUGGGUUGUGGAUGUGUCUGUAUUCUGUAUCACUUUUUACGUGUU